rnacentral:lncRNA from 1 species
UUUUUUUUUUUUUUUUUUUUUUUUUUUUUUGAGACGGAGUCUCGCUCUGUCGCCUUGGCUGGAGUGCAGUGGCUUGAUCUCGGCUCACUGCAAGCUCCGCCUCCGGGUUCACGCCAUUCUCCUGCCUCAGCCUCCCAAGUAGCUGGGACUACAGGCGCCCAGCCACCCCGCCCGGCUAAUUUUUUGUAUUUUUAGUAGAGACGGGGUUUCACCGUGGUCUCGAUCUCCUGACCUUGUGAUCCGCCCGCCUCGGCCUCCCAAAGUGCUGGGAUUACAGGCGUGAGCCACCGCGCCCGGCCAAUACCUGUUUUUUUAAACAUGAACAUUCACACAAAUAUGUAAUGGAUACUUCCCAGUUGUUGCCUUAUUGGGGAAGCAGUACACAGGAAGGGUUAAAAGCAUGGAUCUUGGCAUCAAACUGCUUGAAUUUGAAUCCCACCUCUGAUAUUUCUUCUUGUUUGACCCUGGACAGGUAAAAUGGUUUAAAAUGAUACCUAUAAGGUUGUUGCACUGAUUCAACGAGAUAAUCACUGUAAUGCAGUUAGCACAGGGCCCAAUAAAUGGUUCAUUUUACCUCCUACACAUCUCUGGAAUCCACUCACUUCUCACCAUCUCCUCUGCCACCUCCCCUGGCUAAGGCGACCAUCAUUCCUGCCAAUUUUAGCAUCUCCAGUCUCUUCCCCCUCCCUUCUGUUUUCAGCACAGCCGUCAGAACAUCUAUUUAAAAUGCAAUGUUAACUAUGUCACUACCCUACUCAAAUCCCUUCCAUGGCUCCCCACUGCUUAUAGGAAAAAUCCCAGAGUUUGGGGCCUGGCAUUCAAGGCUCCGCCUGAUCUGGCCUCAGUGGUUUCUCCCACCUCAUCCCUCAACAGUCUCCCUUCACUCUCUAUGACCUGCCCAUGACUUGCUGUUGCCACCUAACUCCAGCCCAGCCACUUUAAGCCUUUAUUUCAAGGCCUAAUGUAACUCAAUCUUCUCAGUCCUAGUCUCCAAUUCUGGCUUCCCUCAAAUUUCAGUCCUGGCUUGAUUGGCACAAAUUAUACAAAUGAGAAACCCCUACUCUGAGAGCUGGGAAGAGCUCCUCCCUGCCUGGUGGUCUCAUCCUGCACCACUGCCAAUGCUACCUUCAAUUCCUCUGGAGUGGGGCUGACUCCCACUUUGGAUGAGACCUGUCCCGUGUUUCAGCCAGCUCAGUUUGUCCCGAGAGAAUCCCAGAGCCGGUGCCUGGCACAGAGUAAAUGCCUGAUAAGCCUUCACUGAGCGAAUGUAACCCCAAAGGCUGGGUGAGGAGUAAAGCUGGGGCAAGAAGCAGAGAGGACCUCUGGGAUCUGUGUGGGAUAAAAGUAGGUUACUCUUAGGUGGUCUCAGGAAAGCCAGGUGGGCCCUGAGUGGGUUCCCCAGGGCUGGGAGCCCUGCCCUUUGCUGUCACCUAUGUUGUCUACUGAUGGAGGAUUUAGGUUUUCUUUUCUUUCUCAGGCAGAAGGUGGGAGAUGGGAGACAGAGCGAUCUCAAUUUAGCCGCCCUAAAAUUCCUAUUACUGUCAGAGAACCCCUCUGCCUAAGAUGCAUCACAUACCAGGACGAUUCUAACCUCUAGGACUCUUCCCUGGCAGGACUCUCCUCUGGGUUUCCUUCUCGUUUCCUUCUCAUCCGUCUACCCUUCCUAGUUUGACCUGGCUGAGCCCUGGUGAAAUCUCUGCCUUUCUUCCUUUCCGGGUCCAAGCACCUUUCACACCCUCUCUCUCCCCUUUCCUCCAUCUCUGUCCAACGCCCUCCCCCUCCCCCUUCCCCCUCCUCCACUCUGCCUCCAGCUUUUUUUGGCUGCUGUCUCUUCUUCCUCCUCCUCCUCCUCCCUCCUUCCCUGACGCUGAAUAAUCA